CACCGCUCGCUCCUCGCCGUUUGGAUUAACAUGCGGGAGAUGCUCCUGUCACUUUGCUUACUGUCAGCGCCUGCUCGGGGAUGGGUGACGGCUUUGUUCGGGGGAGCCGUGCCAAGGCGGACUUGGCAGGCGCUCCCCCGGGGCGGCCGCAGAGGGCUGCGGGGUGCACGGCCGCCCCUCGGCCCCUCCGCCGCCGGCCUGGUGCAGGCGAGAUGAAAACGUGUUUUGUUCCGUGCUUUUGGCAUCUCCCCAGCAGCGCUCCCAGCCCCUCGGCCCCCCUCCCCAGCCCGCCGGGACUCCCUUUUUAUCAUCGGCGCAACCCAUGUGCUCGCGGCAGCAACAAAAAGGCCCCAAAUACGCCCUAAAACACAAACCACCCCCAAUCUGCCCCCGCGGAGGCCGCUGCCCCCAUGCCGUCCCCAUGGCGGGCGUGUCGCUUUCGGCUUUUUUCCCUUUUUUUUUUUUGCCCUUUUUGCGCAGAGCACGAGGCGGGAUGAGGGGGUGCGCGGGCGGGAAAAAGCACACGGCGGGGGGGGGGCACAAAGCCCUAUCCACGUCCCCAGGCCUUUUGUUUAACCCACGUCGACGCGCAGGAAGGUCCCAGCUUUAUUUCUGCCCCUUCUUUUUUUUUAAUUAUUAUUAUUUUUCCCCCCGUGCUCGCGCCCUUUGGGGGCGAUUUGGAGCCGAACAGGGCAAAACUCUUCAGGGUGGAUUUUCGGAGAGCCGAGUGCAGGAAUUCCUGCCAGCUCGCCUUUGUGCCAGCCUGCCCCGGCCUUCGGCGUCUCGUUCGGAUGGAGCCUGGCAUCCAGGCACCGCCCAUUUCUUGGCGUUGAGCUGAGAGGAGAAGGAAAGGGGAGAGAGCGAGCAAGAGAAGGGAAAAAAAAAAAAAAAAAAAAGCUGUCUCACUCCAACUGGCCUUUCUCGGAAAAGGAUCCUUCCCCGGUGACUGUCCGGAUAAGCGGAGCUCAAUGCAGCCACCGCUCCGCAACACAACCCCUCUCUCCGCGGUGCGUCCCCUCUCGCUGCCUUGAUCAUGCUGUUGUUGUACACAGUCCCCCACAGUCAAAAAUAGAGGAGUCCUAAAGACUCCUGAAAGAAUGCUCAGGAAAACAGGGAGAAGUGCCACUGGACAAGCCUGAAGAAGAAAAGAAUCAGCCCACAAGUAAACAGAGGAAACAUUUUGGUUCACCCAUGCACACGCUCCAACUAAGGAUAAAAGCUGACAUCCUUCCACCCCAUUCAAAAGGAAAGUUUCUCUCAUCAUCAAAGGAUGAAAAUCCCUUUGCUUCUUACUCAGGUUUUCAUCCCCUCUAAAAUUCAUGAGCCAGAAGCCAAAUGGUCACUGAGAGGAGGAGAGAGCAUCUGCAAUAUGGCAGUGGGGCUACAUUUGUAUGGGCUCACACUGAGGGAAAAACCAGAAGGAGAAGACCUGAAGAGGCUCCAGUAAACAGCCAGAGGGAACGCUUUGAUGCUGAUGAAGUCCAAAGACACGAACACAUGAUGGUGAGCAGCUGACUGCCACAGCUGUACAGCAUGGUAGGAAAAAAAAACAGAGCUAAAGCACAAGGACUUUGGCUUGCAAGACCCCUGGCAGCAUCACAGACCCCGUCUUAAGAGUCCUGGUCUCAGACAGAACUUGGCAGUCUUUUUCUCCCCAUCCAGCUCUGAUCCAAAGGCAAACAGCAUUCUUUGUUCUAUCUACUAUCAAAUGACCAUCCUGAGCAGAAAGUAGACUCACACUGAAGGAUGACCACCAACUCCUGCAUUCUGUAAUUAUUUUCUUGAGGAAGAGAGUCUCCUGGGGCUGGAGUACGGGCCCAUGUGCCUUACCAACGCCAUGCUCCUGGUUUUCAAUCAGCUUUCAUCCAGGUAGCUAACCCUUCACAACACUGAGAGACUGAACAGCAGCAUCAAGGGUGUGUGUUGGAUGAGAGCUCUGGUGAGGCCACAGCAGCAAUACCUGAAGCAGAGAGCAUUGAGAGCAAGAGUCCUGUCCUGUGGGAGAGAUGUGGCCAUGAACGCAGUCUCCCUCUUCCAUCAGUGCAGCUCAGAGGCUGCAGACUGGAGGCCAUGAGGACAUCCCCUCGUCACCAGCUCCUCCCUUCUCCUUUGUGACGCUUCAGCACCUCAAGAGCAUUCACAACCCCCUCUCCUAAUAGAAACCAACACCCCAGCUCUCUCAGUAGCUCACAUCCACAAAACCGACACAUUCAUGACCUCUUUCCCUUGCUUAUGUCGCCAAAUUACCUCCCCCUCCCCAUGCUAAUAAGCCACCAAAGCCCAAGUGCACACACCCUCUGGUUGACUCUUAAAUUCUUACUCCCACCUCUCACCCCUUGUAUUACGCACACCCAUGUGACUGAGAUAAACUGAAUAAGCAUCAAGUGCUGGGGCUUGUCUGUGGUUUUCUGGGAGCUACAAGCGUUUUCUGUGAUCCCAGCCCCAUGGCACAUCCACAACCCAUUAUCUUUCCCAUUCAGGACCACCAGGUGGAUGCAUAGCACACGGAGGGUCUUAUAAAUAUAUCUUGCCUUGUCAUGCUCCUAGUAAGCUUUAACUUGGAAUAAGGAUUUAAAAGUUUCUCAGUUUGACAGGUUUUUUUUAUAGAAGAAGUUAUUGGUGUCAAAGCAGCUGAAAUAGUUCCUCAUUCCUAGCUUCAAAUUGGCAUGCUGCAUAGGUGGCCACAUCCUGAUCUGCUGCUACGCACAUCGAGAGCCUUGUUGUCUUCAUUCAGCAUCCUGCCUCCAUGCUUUACCUGGAAGAGCAUUGCUCAAGAAAUGCAAUCUUCUUUCAGUGCAAGGACUGGAGGUUUCAGGUGGGCUUUGCUGUCCCAAACCCUACUGAAAUAAACAGGACUUGGAUCUCUCAAAUACCUUCAAAACUCCCAAACUUUAGUACAAAUAGCACAAACGUACCUGUGAAGGAAUUCUUACUGCUGCCCACCAAGCCUGCAUGAAAAGCUGGGACAGAUACUAACAGUUUGCUACAGAUGAUGCUCAUCUUCAAAUAAGGAAAUCAAGCACAGCCAUUUAAGAAGUAAUCUAUCCGUAACCAUUUUCACCUGGAGAGCUUAGGAUCAUCUGCAGGAAGUUGGGGAGGCAAUGAGAAACAGCGGUUAUUAAAAGCCUUAAGAUCCUGGGUUUCUUCACAGGGAUAUUGGCAUUGCAAUUCUGCUCCAAAUUACUCUUCAGGAAAACUGCCCUCUCAAUAAAGCUUACCAGGUUUGUCCUCCGGUUCUUAAAUUCAUCCCAUAUGGAAAUGCCACGAAGCACCUUGUCCAAUUAACACCCCUCCUUACAGGGUUUCCCCGCAAGAUCUGUAUCAGCUUCAAAACUGUGCUUGGUGGUGGCACUCACAGUUCCCUUCAUCCAUAAGGAUGGGGCUCGUACCCGGGAUUUCUCACUUAUCCUUAGUCCUGGGAACAGCUGCGGUUCUCACAGCUUUAUCUUGCUUUGUGCACCCCUGAGGGGCUGCCCGUGUUGGGUGCUCUCCCAUGAGCUGUGUCCCGCUCUGACCACCUGCUCUGGGCUGGUUUUACUCACAAAGGGAACUCACCUACGUUGUGGAUGAUGGGCAGGGUAAGGGCGAUGCCUACGCACUGCUCGGGAAUAUCAAGGAUGGCUUUUGUAGAAUGGUUUGGGUUGGAAGGGACCUCAAAGAUCGUCUGGUUUCAACCCCGAGGAGCGGCUCCAGCCUCCACCCAGAGCAGAUGGUUCAUUCUUCAUAUCCACCCGUCCCUCCAUCAGCCCAGGCAAAACCCUGCGGCGAUGCCUCCAAACUGCCCAAGUGCUCUCUGCAUGGAGCCCUGCGAGGCUGCUGCGUUCCAUGUUUGUUUCUCUGGCUUCGUGCCCCCACUGCUUCCCUGACUUUCGAGCCCCACUGCUGAAUCUCUGUCCCAAAGGCCUCGCUGGCUGCCCCGGGUUCCUCUCCCCCUCCCCACACCCUCCUGUGGGUGUUAUUUACACCGUUUCCUUCCCAGGGAAGUACAGGAGUUGGACGUUACGGGGUUGGUUUCCGUUCUCCUGCCCUGCUCCCAUCGGGAGCUGUCACAGAGAACAAGCCCCACGGAGCUGGUGGUGGUGGGGCCGGAGGUGCCCACCAGGCCCCGGCAAAGACAUAACCCCUUCCAGGACCUCAACCAGCUCGGGUGUGCUGGAAACCACGACCCACGGCCACGCUGGUCCGGCUGUGGGGCUGGACAGGACCACUCAGCCCCCGGCGGGAGGCAGGGAGGACAGAACCGGGCAUCUCUGCCAAGCUGUUCAGUUCCCAUUGAAUCCACACCCUCCCCUUUCCCCUCCCUUCCCUUCUUCCCUCCCAUCUCCAGCGAACAAAAUGGCUGCAUGGCCAUUUUGUUUUCUGCCUGGAAGGGGGAAGCGAGGACGCUGGGACUUGGCUCUUUUUUGGAGGCUGCGGCCAUGUUCGAGCCCAACUCUCCCGUCUCGACGUGGCACCGGCUGUAGCAGGGAGGGAGGAAAAAAAAAAAAAAAAAAAAAAAGGACCUUUUGGAAUGAGACCAAAGUCAGAGACAGAGAGUGGGCAGUUUUGGCAUAUGUUGAGCACUGAAAAUGCCUGGAAUUGCCAAACCGAGCUUUUGUGUUAGCAGGGUAAGGCUACUCGGUGCACGCAGAGCCGCGGGGCUGCACGGUAUAGCCGGACUGAAAGGUUUGUUCGCUGCGUUCAAUAAAACAGCCCUCCUUUCUUGUGUAUUUAUAAAGUACCAGUGAGCACUGUUGUCUAAUUUGUUUUUGGACGGGCGGAUGGUUUUACACAUCGGCUUGGUAUGAUUAGAGCCGGUCAGCGCCGGACGGUAGCAGUUUAACCUGUUGUGUGUCCUUUCGUUUUUGGUGAAUAUAAAAUUUGACCUUUCUGCAGAUUUGGCAGCUAAUGGGAUCCGGAGCCUUUUAUUUUUAAUUAUUUUUAUUUUUUAGGGAUUUUUUUUGUUUGUUUUGUUUAUUGCCUGAAAAGUUUUUCAGUCUUGGGAAUAAAAAUCUUCAUUUAAAUAUUAAAAGAUAGAGCUGCUCCUGGCUUUUUAAGCACUUGCUUUCCUUGCCGGGACGGUGCAGUGCUGUGAUAGCAAGCUGUUUACUGCAAGCGUGUAUCUCCUGCAACACAACAGAAGCCACGGGAAGCAACAUGCCUUAAAAGUUGAAGGGAACUUGGUGGCGUUACCAUACAACGUUGCGCAGAAGCAUGGCAAAAAAAAAAAAAUACCAGAACAUGCGCCAAAUCAGAGGGAUUUUUUUUCUUUUUUUUUUUUUUUUUAAGUGAUUCUGCAUUUCCCUCAGUAGCUGGGAUGGCUUCGCAGUUCGCAGUCACGGCUCUUCGCUCCCGGACGCCAGAGGGGAAUGGAUUUCUGGUGACAUAGGGGGGAUCGGCUUUGCUGUGGGUCCGCAUUGGGGUGGUCUCACCUCUCCUGGAGGGAUUGCCGGACAUCUGGAGAGAUGCUGGGAACGGGAGCAGGAGCAGGGGGAUCGCUGUUCUUGCAUGGAAAGGUAUUUGCCUCCGAAUCUGCUUGGCUUUCUUGCAAAAGGACAGUUGCGGUGGAAAUGGUGGUCUUGGAGCUGGUGUGCAUAGGUGGGCACCGGGUUCGCUUCGCAAAUUCCAUGUUUUGGUCCAAAUAUAUGUUAGGGGUAAACAUGACCCCUUUUGCAAGCAGGUUUUGAACUGAAGGAGGGCAGCAUUGAUGGAAGAGUUUUACAAAAUAUUGCAGGAUGCUCUCUGCGUAGAUCUUUGUGUUGUCCUAUAGCAUUGCGUUAUCCUAUAGCAUUGCGUUAUCUUACGGAAUUGAACACAGCAGUUAAAAGUAAAUAUUUUUUUUCCCCUUUUAUCUCUUGAUUUUUACUCUUCUGAAGGAAUUACGAAAUAUCAGUAGCACUUGUUUUUAAUUUUAUAACAAAAAAAUAGGGGAUUUUUAUUUUUUCCUGCAGGAAAGUAUAUGUGAUAUGCUGAUUGACCAGGAAAAUUAAUGAUUGUUCAGAAAAAAGCCUUAUCUUUGCGGUCACCUUUAAUAAUGGGUUCAUGAAGGGUUAAUCAAAGAUAAAUAGCGUAAGGAGCAUAUUACAGAUGCAUGUAUUGUAGAUAAAAAUACCAGAUUGAUUAAGGAGGAUCGAGAGGUUUACAAACAUCCGACAGGACUCGAGGCAACGCCUAUCAGAUGAGCAGGAAUUCAUUAGGGUACCUAUUAAUUGUUUAAUAUAACAAUAAGUAUUUAAUAUAAACAAAUGCUGCAGCAACACUGAUGUGGAGUACUGCCGACAUCAUUACAGCACAUGGAGGAAAGCACUGCUGAGACGCGGGGCUGUUGUCGGGAUGAACUUUCCCGAUUUCAGCGUCCAUCUCCCCUUUGCCUAUUUGCAGUGCCUCCAAUUAACUCUUUUGCAGCUUCGUGCUCGGCCCCAGGGUCAGGUCCGCUUUGCUUUCCCGACAGAUCCACUGCUUUGUGAGAAUUAAGAGAAACGUGGCCCAUUUGGCACCGAGCUGCUUCACCCAGCCCAAACCACUCAUGGCAGCACCGCGACUCAUGGGAGCGAGAUCAGAGGGAGCAGAGAGCGCAGAGACAGCGCCGGCGCACGGCAUCGCUGCACCCGGCGACGUCAGGAGCUCCUGAAAACUUUCCCAACUUCUUUUUUUUUUUUUUUUUUCUUCUUCUUCUUCUUUUCGUCCAUUUGCUUUUCAUUUCCCCACUCGAGGCGGCGAGGAUGUGAGAAUGUUACUACGGCCUUCCCCACCGGGCAAAGCCACGGCGACAAAAUGGCCGACGGGCAGCCAUUUUGUGGGAGCAGGCAGCGGCUGCGGGCAGCUCUGUGCUUCUCUGCCUCCCUCUGCCCGCUCCUGCCAUGGCUCCAUGGGGCUGAAAGGGCUCUCAGAGAAGCAGCGUUUCCCUCUGGGAAGUCCUGCCUGUGCCCGGCACAUUUUGGCACUGAGCUCAGCGCUGCAGCUACACAAAGGCUGAAAGCUGCGCCUGCUUUUAACGGAGCGACCUUGUUGUUGCACGGUUUCCUCCCCCCUCCUCCUCCAUUUCAUUCAGUUCUCCUUAAUAAGCCAGAUCAGCUCCUCAAAGCUGUUCCAGCUCUUUUCUGAAGCUCUGUACCACCAUGAUUUGAAUGGCAGAGGCUCUGCUCGGCCCCAUCGGCCUUCAGACCCAUGGAUAGUUGUGGGUCCGCCAUGAGGCAUCUCCCGGGGGUCCCCGGUGACAGCUACCGUCACUUUUCCAUCCCAAAAACAAGCACGAAAGCCAGACUGGAGGUGACAUUUUGCCUUCAUGAAGGAUCUUGCUGUGAGGAAACGUAUCCAUCAUUUACCUGUCAAUUUCCUUCACCCCUCCAAAGACACCCGGACAGCAGAGCGGGCUGCAGCACUCCAAGUACAGUGAUCUUCUUGCAGAGCUUUUUCUAAAAGAAAUACGUGUAUGUCUACCUCGUAUUUGGCUUAUUUUUAAGUCCUCAUACGGAUCUAGGAGGGGAGAAUAGCAGUACCACUCCCCAAAAAAUCUGUGCACAGAAAAUGGUAUUUUUCAAAGAGGUCAGGCUCUUAGCAGUCAGGUGUCUGAAAAUCUCCCCAAACUCAGGGCUUCAUGAACUCAGAAGGCAGUGGUUGGCUUUGGGGUAUCAGCUCCUGACCCCUGUAGGCCCUUCUGGCUAUUUUAGUCUGAAUUUUGCAGUGCUGCAUUGCAUUUAGGCACUUGUAAAUUGAAUGCCUCAGCAGCAAUGUGCUGGAAGGGAAGGUUUUGUGCCUGGAAACCAGGGCUGACCCAGGGAAGCCAUCAUCGUGGGAAGGAGCACAGAGACAGGAGCAGGACCUGCCAAGCGUGGUCCCACUUUCAUCUUUCCUGUGGACUUGCCCUGUGAUUUUUGGCAGAUUUGGUCACAUCGCUUCUUUCUCCAUCUUUAGACCAUAAGCCAUCCAGGAGAGGGGCCAUCCUUACAGCACCUCGCAGCAUCAGCUGUGACAAUGACACAGGGGUUAGGAGAGUCACACUGAUCCUUACAGUAUUUCUAAAUUGUCCUGUUUGACUGCUUUCUUCAUAGGUCCUGGCAGGAUCAAGAUUGCAGUGUCAGCAGCUCGGUAUUCCUGAAACUUAUUAAGACAAUUAUCAUAAUUAAAUCUCCUGUUUUCAGGAUUACUUGUAGAAGUCAGAAGGGAUCUUUCUUUUUUUCCUCCCCAUGUAUAAUUAGAUUGAUGUAAACGAGGGGUUAUGUAACAAUUUCCUCCCCACAGUUUGAUAUUAACCCAAACUCCUAUUCCCUGCAGUGGUAUCAAAAGUGACCCCGUAAAUGCCUGUUCCUCUGGUUGGUGUCUGUGGCGGCAGCUUAAGCCUUGGGAAGCUAAAACACUUUCAGAUAGAAAACCUGAAGUCAGAAGGAACCCACGAGGGCCAUCAAAUCGAACUCCCAAACUUCUGACUUUAAAUGAAUCCCUCUGUUCCUGAUGGUAACUGCUGCAAAGCUCCGGCUGCUGUUGCGUGCAUUAAGGAGGGAGGUUUAACCUCUGUGCAUCACUUGCUAUGCCAGUAAAACAGGAAGAAUAUUAUUUCCCUUCAGAAGGCUGUUUGGGAUUCAAAGCGCUUGGCACUGUGGAUGGGUUGGCUACUUAAAUGCUAUGGGAAUCAGUCCUGCAACACUGAUUUUCUGACACUGUUUAUACGUUAUCACACAGGGAGAGGCCUGGGCCAGAUGGCCUGGCACAGUAGGUCAUCCCAAGGCUGAGUUUGUCAAAGGAAAUUAAAAGAAUUAACUGGGCUGUGCUGACUGCUAGCUGAGAAGGAUUUCUGGACAGCUCUGCAAAGGAACGUGGGCACUUUCCAAGCCUCGCUGCAGAGAUAUUCAAAAGAAUAUCUCUGCCCAUCUUAACCUCUCACCUUGGGGACCCCAGCUACAAUAGCUGCCCGUACCUUGGGGAAUCUCACUCAUGCACACUGCUGCCUGUUAGCUGUGGAAACAUAGAACAUCAGGCAUCCUCCGUCCCCACGGUGACGUCUGCCUUAGCCCCUGCAUCUCCCAUCCAGCCGUGGGCAGAUGGGACCCCUCCUGCUUCACAGCGCUGCGCUGCACAUGCAGCCCCUUGACGUGCUGCUGGAGGCUCCCUUUCUCGUUAGAUCCUCCUUUAAUCUCCAAGGGGAAAUCCUUCUCAUUGCGAGAGAACCUCACGCAGCUUUUAAACCGCCAGCGCAAUACCUUGCAUCUGUAGUGAGGUGUACAGAGAAUGAAAAAGCCUCAGAAGGUGAGCCAAGGGCUUGGGGGGAAGCCAGUCUGUCUCUGCUCCACGCUAAUAGUGCCUGGCUGUGCUAUAGCAUUAAAGGGACACCAAAGCUGCAUGCUGCACUCAUUUGUUUGGGAAAUGAGAUCUGCCUUGAUAUACUCAAUACCAUUACAUGUGCAGCCUAAAAGCUUCCUUGUACUCAGUUAUUUCUAAUCUGCUCAGUUCCCUGGAGUGCAUAACAGCUAAAUUGAUGGAUUAUCUUAUCUAGUCUGGCAGGUUUGUUCUAGAUACGCUGUGUGUUCAAGAGGUGAGGUCAGCUUGCCUGUAUAUUAUGUGGUGUUGCUGCAGCUUCAGGAAGGCUGUGCUCGCUGUGUGCAUGGUCCUGGGCUCAGUCAGCAGAGCUGCUGUUUCCGUAAGCCCUUGGGUGCGUAAAAUCUGCAGCCAGCUUGAUUGCCAAGGAUAAAUUAUAGUCCAAGUGGACUGAAGGAGGUAGAAGGAAGAAAGGGAGCUCCACGGCGAGGCUGAGUAUGAGACUUGCUUCUUCUAGCAACACAAAGCCUGAUGAAUUUUUGUGCAUUUCUCUUCACAGGAGCCACCGAGCAGUCAGUUCCUGGAUAAGGAUCAUCUCAUUGCCCUAGAUGGCAAUGGUCCCAAGCUGUCCUUGAGGCUGAGGUAGUAGAUUGAAUAGUUGUGGAGUCCUAUCCUCCCUUUGAGCUAACUAUACAAUCUACUGUCUUUCCUAAGGAGACAGUCAGGUCUUCAGUUCAUCUGCUUCGACACCAAGCAUGGAGACAGGUGGUGCAAGAAAUCCUGCUCUUACACAAAGCCAGGGAACUACACCAGACCUCUGCACUGCUCUGUGGAGAGCAGCAAUACCACCGGAGGAGCAGCUCAGCCACAGAGGUCCCGAAGCAAAACCAGCACAUGGCAUUGUUGGACAACACAGUGGGUCUUCUCCUACAGCAUCCAGGAUUGUAUUAGUCCAGGGACUGCUCCCUGCCUCGGUCAUAUGAACAGGGAGCUAGCUACAUAAAGAAAAAUGCAUCUCUCAUUUUUAAUGGGUGCAAGAGAAACAGUGAAAUGAGCUGGCUUAGCCCGUGGACUCAAAGCCCCGUGAGCUGAUCAGAUUUUGGCUGGUUGGCCCCUGCAAAUGCAUUCUGGCUUUGGACGAGUUCCCAGCUCUCCCGUGGGACAGAGUUAGAGGGUGGUUCCUUCUGAGCUGAUAACCUCUGUCAACCCAGCUCACGUGCAAACCCUGCUGAAGAGAUUAGGGCUCCUAUGUAUUUACACGGGAUAAGGCAGCAAUUCAGACCAAAGCCCCGUCCUACUCAGGAGUCAGGUGAGAAAGAGAGAUGAGCCAAAGGCAGCGGGUCCUAACCCUUCUUGUGUGUCCCAGGUAGGGGGCACUGACAGCUGACAGUAGAUGCAGGAGAUGACAGCCUGCUUCAGAGCUCUGGCUCUCGACAAGGGACAGGGAAUGGUUAUUUCUUCCCUUUGUGAGAAGCAGAUGCCACAUUCCAGAGUAAAUAGAAUCCUGAUCACAAGAGGGGCUGUAACUCAAUGAGGGCUGCACCAGUUUCUCGAGACUGAAGGAUGUCUCGGGACAUUAUCACCGGCAUCUCACCGCCAGGGAAACGUGUGAAAGCUGAGACACUGAGGAGCGAGGAGCAAACCAAGGACACUUCUCAGAUGAAUGGGGAGGAAGAGAGCAGCAAUAAGAAGCAGGAACCCUCAAAUUUCACCUGGAAGCGAAACACAGGGAGACUCAGACCUGGCUGCUUGAGGCUAUGGGACUCCCAGAAGUGAAGCAGCUCGUUUAAGGCUCCUCUGCUUCUUGGGAUAGGGCGUAGCUUCAGCAAGGCUGGGACAGGACUUCUCGGGCUGGGCAACAGCUGGAGGGUGGGGAUGCCGGAGUGUCUAGCAGCAGAGGAAUGCAGCCCUCUGCUCCAUGCAUCUGGCUGUUCAGGAGUCACGGGGACCCGCCAUACAAAGCUACAGCUCGCUCCUCUUCUACACAUUCUUAUCGCUCCUAAGGGGCAGGGCUUCUACCCCAGCGUUGCUUGGAAGGUACCAAAACAGCAGCACAAGCACGGGAACAGUGCAGCACAUCGGCUUCGUGUUUCAGAGGUGUCCCCUAGAAAAGGAUUAAUCCUGCGUGUCCCGAACGAAAUCCGUUCAGUCCCCAUCCACUGCACUAACGUUAAUGCAGAGAACUUUAAGCACCAAAAUGGUACGAGAUGAAAACCGUGAAUAAAAUACCACUAGAGAUACUCUUCUGUGAAAAUAAACUUGCUUUAACUAUUGUC